rnacentral:piRNA from 1 species
GCUAAUGGUGGCAAGCAAAAGUUAAGC